rnacentral:lncRNA from 1 species
UUCAGUUUGUUUGCUUUCUCUCAAUCUCGGCCGAUUUCCAAUAUGAUGGUGAACGUUUGUGGCCACCGCCGCAGCCCCAUUCAGAAGCCCUUCAUCAUUCAGCAACUUCUUCAUCCUCGUUCAGCAACCCUUACGAAGGGCAUCAGAUGAGUUGUUGCUGCAUUUGUGAAGUUCAGUUUAUAUUCAGCCCUUGGUGCUGGUUCUUCAACAACAUUACUAAUUUACUAUCUCCUCCAUGACAUCAACAACGUUACGGUUCUAUGGCAUCCGCUUUCAUUGUACCAACAAGACCAACAAGAUUACAAGAUUGUCGAUUUUGCUUGUUAGUUUUGUGUUUCAUAUGUAUGAUAUUAACACUUUUUACAUGUUUGUUAGCAAACAUUUGGAAUAUGUUUGGAAGGCGAUUGAAAUUUUAAUUGAAGUGAUGAUAUUAGGAUU